UGUUCGGAAUUACUGGGCGUAAAGGGCUCGUAGGCGGCCAACUAAGUCAGACGUGAAAUCCCUCGGCUUAACCGGGGAACUGCGUCUGAUACUGGAUGGCUUGAGAUUGGGAGAGGGAUGCGGAAUUCCAGGUGUAGCGGUGAAAUGCGUAGAUAUCUGGAGGAACACCGGUGGCGAAGGCGGCAUCCUGGACCAACACUGACGCUGAGGAGCGAAAGCCAGGGGAGCAAACGGG
rnacentral:rRNA from 1 species